UCUUGGAAAUAAAAAGAUGAAUCUACCAGAGUACUAUGAAUUAAAAAUUUAAAACUCAAAGGGCUUGGCGGUGCUUUAGACCUUUCAGGGGAACCUGUCUCAUAAUCGACAAUCCACGUUACACCUAACCUUUUCUUGCAUACAGUUUGUAUACCGUCGUCGUCAGGUAACUUUUAAAAAUUUUAUAGUUAGCAGACAAACUUUAAUAACUUUAAACGUCAGAUCAAGGUGCAAUUAAUGAAAAGGACGAGAUGGGUUACAAUUAUAUAUAAAUAAUAAUACGAAAGACUAGUUGAAAUACUGUUCUAAAGGAGGACUUGAAAGUAAAAAUGUUAAUAUGUACAAAUUGAAUAAGGCUCUGAAGCGUGC
rnacentral:rRNA from 1 species